rnacentral:rRNA from 1 species
CCUACGGGAGGCUGCAGUGGGGAAUAUUGGACAAUGGGGGGAACCCUGAUCCAGCCAUGCCGCGUGUGUGAAGAAGGCCCUCGGGUUGUAAAGCACUUUCAGUGAGGAAGAACGCCUGGUGGUUAAUACCCAUCAGGAAAGACAUCACUCACAGAAGAAGCACCGGCUAACUCCGUGCCAGCAGCCGCGGUAAUACGGAGGGUGCGAGCGUUAAUCGGAAUUACUGGGCGUAAAGCGCGCGUAGGUGUCUUGAUAAGCCGGUUGUGAAAGCCCCGGGCUCAACCUGGGAACGGCAUCCGGAACUGUCAAGCUAGAGUGCAGGAGAGGAAGGUAGAAUUCCCGGUGUAGCGGUGAAAUGCGUAGAGAUCGGGAGGAAUACCAGUGGCGAAGGCGGCCUUCUGGACUGACACUGACACUGAGGUGCGAAAGCGUGGGUAGCAAACAGGAUUAGAUACCCGAGUAGUC